GCAGACACAUUCCAGCCAAUCAGAAGCAGACUCUCCCUCCAAGACCCUCCCACCUCCUGGACAGCAUCCAUUUUACAUUCAUUGUGAAGCCGCAUUCUUAGUGAGCUGUCCAGGAGGUGGGAGGGUCUGGGAGGGAGGGUCUGCUGCUGAUUGGCUGGAAUGUGUCUG
rnacentral:miRNA from 1 species